rnacentral:rRNA from 1 species
CACGUAGGGGCGAGCGUUGUCCGGAUUUAUUGGGCGUAAAGAGCUCGUAGGCGGCUCGGUAAGUCAGGUGUGAAAACUCUAGGCUCAACCUAGAGACGCCACCUGAUACUGCUGUGGCUAGAGUCCGGUAGGGGAGCAUGGAAUUCCUGGUGUAGCGGUGAAAUGCGCAGAUAUCAGGAGGAACACCGGUGGGCGAAGGCGGGUCUCUGGGCCGAAUACUGAC